GCCUCGAUCGAGUUCGAGACUGCACAGUUCUGUUCUGAGAAGUUGUUAACUGUCAUUAGAGAAGUAAAGUCGUACCAAGGUUCCGUAGUGACCUGCGGAAGAUCAUA
rnacentral:rRNA from 1 species